GGAUGUGUGCCCGAGAACUUAGGGAUUACUUUGAUAGAGUAAACAACAGGGAUUCAACCCCCUCACCUCCU
rnacentral:tRNA from 1 species